rnacentral:tRNA from 1 species
AAGAAAGUAUGCAAGAGCUGCUAACUCAUGCCUCCGAACUUAAACGUGCGGCUUUCUUAC